rnacentral:rRNA from 1 species
CCAGACUCCUACGGGAGGCAGCAGUGGGGGAUAUUGCACAAUGGGGGAAACCCUGAUGCAGCGACGCCGCGUGGGCGAAGAAGUAUUUCGGUAUGUAAAGCCCUAUCAGCAGGGAAGAAGAAAUGACGGUACCUGAGUAAGAAGCACCGGCUAAAUACGUGCCAGCAGCCGCGGUAAUACGUAUGGUGCAAGCGUUAUCCGGAUUUACUGGGUGUAAAGGGAGCGCAGGCGGCACGGCAAGCCUGAUGUGAAAGCCCGCGGCCCAACCGCGGGACUGCAUUGGGAACUACCGGGCUGGAGUGCCGGAGAGGUAGGCGGAAUUCCUGGUGUAGCGGUGAAAUGCGUAGAUAUCAGGAGGAACACCGGCGGCGAAGGCGGCCUGCUGGACCGUAACUGACGUUGAGGCUCGAAAGCGUGGGGAGCAAACAGGAUUAGAUACCCUGGUAUGC